rnacentral:rRNA from 1 species
UACGUAGGGGGCUAGCGUUGUCCGGAUUUAUUGGGCGUAAAGAGCGUGUAGGCGGCCAGGUAGGUCGGUUGUGAAAACUGGAGGCUCAACCUUCAGAGGUCGACCGAAACCAUCUGGCUAGAGUCCGGGAGAGGAGAGUGGAAUUCCUGGUGUAGCGGUGAAAUGCGCAGAUAUCAGGAAGAACACCCGUGGCGAAAGCGGCUCUCUGGAACGGUACUGACGCUGAGACGCGAAAGCGUGGGGAGCGAAACAGG